AUGAAACCUCUGAAUACCACUAUCCAAUUGGUGUCGGAUCUCAUUGAUCCGGAGAACUGGUCGUGGCGACAGGAGCUAGUUCGAUCAACUUUCAUUGCCCCGAACGUGGAAGCAAUCCUUAAUGCACCAAUCAGGCAUGGGGGUGGUGAUGAUUUUUUUGCUUGGGCCUUUGAGACUUUAGGUAACUAUACUAUUAAAUCGGCGUACCGUGCUCUAAUGACCCAGAACGAGUGUCUUGCUCUAGGAGAAGGGGCGGAUACCGAUGCUUCAAGAGAUGAAAAACAGUUGUGGAGUGCUUUGUGGAAACUCAAAGUUAUCCCAAAGGUUCAUGUGUUUUGGUGGCGUGUACUUCGACGGAUCCUACCUGAUGAAUGCACACUCAAACACCAUCAUAUUGAGGUCAUUGAUAGAUUCAAUGUUUGCUUGGCAAUGGAGGAAGAUCUCAUGCACGCCCUUAUUCACUGA
rnacentral:rRNA from 1 species